AAAACACUGGAACUGUCAGAAGACAUCAGCUUCUCUUUCUUGACUGUGGUAAGGAUAUAUAUGAUCUUACUUAAUAACAAAUCUAUGUGUGGCAAAAUGAAAAUAAUUGAUGUUGUACCUGUUUCUCUCAAAACAAAGUAAAAGUGAGUAAUUGUGCAUUUUUCAUGGACAUGAAAAUUACGACAGUGAAGCCACCAGAUCACCACCGUUCUCCACAUCAUCAUGGGAGUCAUGACUGUGUCUGUUUUCUGCAUCCUCAUCUUCCUGGUGACUGGGGGUUCUGCAAUUUCAGGCCAGAAUUAUUGUAAAUAUGGGUUUUCUCGACCAACCUCUUCCUGGCAGAUUUGCUACCUUGCGGUCUCAGAGUUAAAAUCUUGGGCUAGCGCACAGGAGCUAUGUCGUCAAAAAGGUGGAUACCUAGCUUCUAUUGAGAACAACGAUCAGUUAGAAUAUGCUUAUGAGAUUACACCAGACGGAUAUUCCUGGGUUAACGGGAAUUCUCUGUCCGAAUUUAUCCAGGAGAACUGGGUGCCGGGUGAUGAGCCAGGUUGGACAAAUGGUCACUGCUUGACAUUGGUGAACACCUAUGAUGGAAAAGGCUUUAGGGCAAUUAGUUGUUUAGAAACAGAAAACACUGCCAACGUUCUCUGCGAGGCCGAUGUUAUCUACUGAAGAGUCCACUCAGAGAACGCAAAGGGAUCUUGUUUUUGUACUAUCGCAUGCACACUUUUACUUUAAGUAAAAAUACCAAAAGAAAAUACAUUUGAUGUAUUCAAUGGCUACCCACAUUAUUUAAUCAGUUGUGACUGUUUUACUUUUUCUUUUUUCACAAUGGAAGUCCCUGUAAAAUAUAAUAAAUGACUUUAUUUUUCUUUCUUUUUAAAAAUAUUUUAAUAUUUCUACACUAUGAAGUACACACUGAAAUUGUGAACAUUAUAAUAAUUUCCCGUUUGAGUAAAAGCAGUUUGACAAAGAUGCAUGGAAUUGGGGAUUGGGGAUUUAUUAGCCAUGUACGGAUUAUUUAAAAAAAUACUAUUACAAAGAAUGCAUGUUUGUUUUGACACAAUACCAUUAUUGUGUUAACAGUAAAUUGUUAUUCAGAACAUUUAAUUAGUAUGUUGUAAAUUGUGUCUUGUUCAUUCAUCAUUGCUUUCUUGCCUCUUUUUCAAUAAAGACUUUCUGAAAUUAUUAAACUCUUGGGUUUUUCCAGAUUUUUUUGUGUGUCACAAAGCAAAGUUGGUAGAGUCUUAUUCAAAUAGACUAAUGGCUCUAAUUGCGGCCAUUGAUGUUUACCAAAUAUUGACUAAAGGGGGUGAAUACUUAUGCAAUCAAUUAAUUUAUGUUUUGUAUUUGUAAAUCCUUUUGUCAUUUUAUUUCACACUUUAAUAUAAUGGAUUUCUUUGUGUUGAUCAGUGACAAAACACUCUAAUUAAUCCUGAUUUCAUGUUAUAAUCUAAUAAAAUGUGUGUGGUCCAAUGCUUUUGAGAGUCACUGCCCAUACAAAUACUGCACAUUUGUUAUUCUAACAUUGUUUUGAAUUUGAGGAAAUGUAAUUAACAAACUAUUAAAAUGUACAAGAAAAAGGCAACAACAAUACAACUUCAAUAUGUUUGUCUAAUAGUUUUGUAGUUGGUCUUAAAUAUGUUUUCAUGGACAUAUUGAAGCAAUUCUAAUUAUUUUCAAAUGAUUGUACUGACCAUCUCACUGUUAUAUUUGGAAUGUCAGCAGCAGUUCAAAAAAUACAUGUAAAGAUGAGGACGGGUUCACCACUCUGUCAAAGAUUACACAGGCA
ensembl:lncRNA